AUUGGAGCGGAGGCUACUUAAAACCAUCGCGAACUCGUCCAAGUUGCUUCGGCGGCGCGACCUCCCACCGGACACGCCUACAGCCCCGCCUCUCCGGAGGUGUGGGGCGCCCGCCGGAGGUACGAAACUCUGUAUUAUAGUGGCAUCUCUGAGUAAAAAACAAAUAAGUUAAAACUUUCAACAACGGAUCUCUUGGUUCUGGCAUCGAUGAAGAACGCAGCGAAAUGCGAUAAGUAAUGUGAAUUGCAGAAUUCAGUGAAUCAUCGAAUCUUUGAACGCACAUUGCGCCCGCUAGUACUCUAGCGGGCAUGCCUGUUCGAGCGUCAUUUCAACCCUCAAGCCCUGCUUGGUGUUGGGGCCCUACGGCUGCCGUAGGCCCUGAAAGGAAGUGGCGGGCUCGCUACAACUCCGAGCGUAGUAAUUCAUUAUCUCGCUAGGGACGUUGCGGCGCGCUCCUGCCGUUAAAGACCAUCUUUAACUCAAGG
rnacentral:misc_RNA from 1 species